UAGAAAGUAAGAAAGAUUUGCUUUAAAUUAAUUAAAGUUUAGUAGUAAGGUGAGUGAAUUUUGAAACAAAUUAUUUGGUUUAUUUAUAGUUAAUUUCACGUAAUUUAAACAGUAGUACUCAAUAAUUAAAGACUAAAAAGAAAGAAAAAAAAUCGAGAAAAACAUUUUCCCAACUCAUGUAAGAAUCACACACACCCUUGCGGCGAAAAUCCGACCC
rnacentral:lncRNA from 1 species